rnacentral:piRNA from 1 species
UGCUCCUGGAUUUGAAAUAAGGGUC